AGCAGCCGCGGUAAUUCCAGCUCCAAUAGCGUAUAUUAAAGUUGUUGCAGUUAAAAAGCUCGUAGUUGAAUUUCGAGAUCAAAUUGUUGGUCGUGCCUCGGUACGUACUGGCAUUAUUGAUUUCUCCCUUCUGAAGAACCUUGUUGUCAUUAAUUUGGUGUCUUGGGGAAUCAGGACCGUUACUUUGAAAAAAUUAGAGUGUUUAAAGCAGGCUCACGCUUGAAUACAUUAGCAUGGAAUAAUGAGAUAGGACGUUUGAUUCUAUUUUGUUGGUUUCUAGGAUCGACGUAAUGAUUAAUAGGGAUAGUUGGGGGCAUUAGUAUUCAAUUGUCAGAGGUGAAAUUCUUGGAUUUAUUGAAGACUAACUACUGCGAAAGCAUUUGCCAAGGAUGUUUUCAUUAAUCAAGAACGAAAGUUAGGGGAUCGAAGACGAUCAGAUACCGUCGUAGUCUUAACCAUAAACUAUGCCGACUAGGGAUCGGAUGAUGUUAAUUUUUUAAUGACUCA
rnacentral:rRNA from 1 species